UCAAGUACAUUCCUCUUCGAAUAUCAGUGACUCCAUUUAUCUCCUCCUAGGAUCGUACAAUUUUUCAAACGAUAAAAAGACUAGGAAAUUUCGUUCAUUCGCUUGCUUGAUUCGUGAAAGUUGAAUUGCAUCUAUAUUUGAAUUAUUCUAACUUCGCGAAGAAAAAUAGCCUGGGGUUAUUUUGCAAGAAGGUUCCAUUCUCGCCCUACUAAGUUGAUUUUUCUCGACGAUGCUUUUAUAAGAAAAAGCAAGAUAAGAAAAUGAAAAUAUAUUCUCUUUUAAAAAUGUUAUAAAGUCAGAAACGUGUUCCGUAUAUUUCAUGCGUUUAUAUGUUCUUUGAAUUUGAUGCAGAUAAUUAAACCAUCGACCAAAGGCAAAAUGUGCAACGUCCUAUCGCAAAAAUAAAAAUCUGUAGAAAGUCGUAAGUUAAUGGAUACGUGGAAAUAAUAUUACGAAUUAUUCCAUUGAAUAUAAUUCGAGGGUGUAAUUCCUUUAUCGAGGAUAGAUAUCCAAAAAUGAGAGAAUCCCUUAAUCUCUUAAUUCUAUGCCGCGGCAAAUAUUCUUCAACCAGUUUGAUAAGACGACGAACACAAAGCGGUUGGACCCUUGAAUUACGACCGAAUCAAUGGAACAGCCGCAAGGGAAGCGGAGUGUGAACAGCGGCAAUGUUCCAUCGUACGUAUCCAAAUAUUGGCCCAUUACAUGAUCAUAAUGCUUCCUCACCUCGUGUAUUAAACUCUCGUUCCGGGCUCCGUACAGUUUGCCCAGGGAUGAAUAAGGUAGACCUGUGUGUACAUGCCGCUCGUUCUGAUCUAGGCCACGUUUCCUUUUGUGUCCUGUUAUCGGCUCUUGCACCUCGCACAAUGCUCUCCCGCGAACAUAUUGUGCAUGCAGUUCAACUUCUCUUGGACGGAGCCCUCUGUUACUCGUUUUCUUGUAACAAAACGACCACUAACUCCCCGAGAGAGAGAGAGAGAGAGAAAAUCGCUGUUUCUCUAGUGAAAAUCACACAAGUUCCUGAUACCAGCGUUUCGCGACAAACGCGAGUUCUCUUCCUCCAUUUACAAUAAUACGCAGCUAGAUAUCCGGUCCCUUUCAAAGUAUCGCUUCCUUUUCUUAUUCUCACCCUUCUUUACUGUUGGCAAUAUUCGUAUUUUUCAAAUACUCGUUUCUUUCUUCGCAACAUAUUAUAUACGUAUACUAUACCAGAGGAAUAUUUUUCUUACAUUGUGCAGGAGAAAAGUUGGAAAUCUCCUUAAUAAUUCUUUGUAUCUUUGUCAAAACUGCUCCAAAUUUUCUUUCGUCGCGUUCAUUUUAUAUAUUUUUACAACGCGUAUCGUAUUUAAGUUUGUAUCCUACGCAUGUUUGGAGCUUCAACGUUAUAAUCGUACAAUAUAUACAUCGUAUAUUAGAGCGUUGACAAUAUUGAAGAUUAUCGAUCCGCGAUGGUUAAUUUCUUAGUACGAUGACUAACCAUUGGUACAUGGAACUAGGAAUUUCAAGAUCACGAGCAAAGAAAUUUCGCUGUGUUUCAAUUUUUACGAAUAUCGUUCGAAGAGUGACAAAAGUUCGAGGUUUCAAGAAAAUACAUUUGCAACGUUGAAGCAUCGAAAUCGAAGCGAUCAACGAUGAAUCAGUAGCACGAACUAGAAUUGCCUCGGAGGACAAAUAACGCGACACGUAGUCCGGCUUGUAUUCCAAUUUAGGACGUAUUUCCUCCCGCGUCGUAUUAUUGAUUUCCGCCCUUUGUGUCGCGUGAUCAAGAAAAUUGCCGUCGCGCUACCGAGGAAGCACAUCAAUGCCGGGAAACGAGCUCGACGAAGGAGGGGAUGGUGGAGCAUCUACCCCGGAACGGGUAAUGCACCAUCCGUCGCCGAUAGAGCAACUGCACGCCAGGUCUCGAGCAAACGAAUUCGCCUCCGGUUGUUCGUUUUCAUUACCUAAUGAUCGGUACGGUUCAAGUCCGUCGAAUUUUCUCUUUUCGAGAUCGUUGGGAAUUGAAUAGACUGCUAUGGCCGCAACCGGUCGAGUGUAACUAACAGGUUUUGGGUGGAAAGGUGUGGAAGAACAAUUUUCGUUGAACGAAUUUCAUUGAAAGUAUCUUCUGCGCAUAGUCGAUACGUUGAUCGGAAACAGUAGCUUUGUGGAAGUUAGAGAGCAACGCGGUUUGGUAAGAAAGAGACAGUACGAAGUAACGAACACACAGCGGUGGGUAGAAUUUUCGAGUAAGGGGAUGAAUAGGGGUGCCUUGACCACGAUAUAAUGUAUCAAAGGGAGAUAUGAUAUAGCAGCAUGAUGGUGCAAAAUAUUUGUUGGGAUCCCUGAUAUCGAACAAAGGCGAGUCUCUCUCGAUUCGAAUACAGUUUUGCACCUGGAUGACUCGAUUCAUAGUCGAGGGUCUGUCAAACGUAAUUCGAAUUCGAGUGCCGUAUCAACUUCUAUUAACAUCGUUACUCCGCUUUUCUCGAUUCUUCUACAUAAAACGCGCUUCUAAAUCAUAUAAUCGUAAUACUCGUUUAAAUACACACUCGACGAUCUCCCUCCCGUGGUUGGUUUCUGGUUGGAACAAGUGGAAAGGCCACUUUAAACGAGGCGAUCAUGCAAUUAAGCGUUUCGAUUUUCGCGAGAGGCAAACGUCAGCAGCGUCGUACGGUGGAAGCGGCAACGAGAAUAAACCGAGACGGGAGGACGGCGAGGGUUGGAUGAGAAAGAAAAAGAGAAAACACAGAGAGAGAAUACACCGUCCCGUGGGAUCUGUUGGGCAUUGUUGAGGGGGUUGUUUGGUUCGUCGCCCGUCGUUCGAGGGCGCCACCGUUUUCCCUCUCUGGCACACCUCCCCUUUCCGUUCUCGCCCCCUUCUCCACCGCCACCUCUGUCCAUUCCUCUUGUCAGAAAGGAAGAGGGGCACCUUUCCAUGGUGGUGGGAGGGCGGGGGGGGGGAGAGGUUUAGCUCGGGACUGUCACUCAGUGAUGGAUGAUUCUACCCCAACGCGAUCAAUUCGCCUACCACGCGCGUGUACAUGCCUCGGGGGUGAAACUCACCCUUCGUGCUCUUUCCCUUCGCCCUGUCGCGAAUCGCGCCGCUUCCGACCGAUCUAGCGGAAAGACGAAUUUCUUCGUUGGUUACGUGCCAUCGCUGGAGGAAUGUCUUUGAAAACCACUCCCUGCGAAAAGAGAAAGAAAACUGGGAGGAAGAAGCUCGAAGGAUACUAAAGGCGAGAGCACGGUAGACGCGGAGAACUACAAGGCACACACUGUACAGGGGAGAUAGGAUACACGGUUUGCGGGCGUAUCGACUCGGCCAGCCUGGAACCAGCCAGGAAUCAGCCAGGAACCAGCCAGAAACCAGGGAUAUUCGAUGGCUUAGCGUUGACACGAUAACACCGGUGUUGCGAAGCCAACGUCAAUGGUGACGAUUGCUGGACGAUGUUGCUGACAGGUUUAUAACGACACUGGAAAAUAAUCCGCGCUUUCCUGGAUCGACUACACCGAGCUGUUUAUUAUUCCAACCGACUCCCAGUGACAGACUUGUGAAUAAAGGCGAUCCCUGAAGAUGUUUUUAGAUUACAGAUUACAUCGAAAACGAUUUGCACGUCGUUUGCAACUACAACCAAACUGUUUGCCGAAAAUUGGAUUAUCACUUAAAUCGAGUUCAGCUAGCUUGAGCUCGAUUGAAAUAUCAAUAACGCGUCGGAAAAAUAAAUUGUUUAUUAUUUAUCGAUGUAAGCGUCCGGCUAUUAAGAAAUUUAAUUAUUUUACACAGAUAAUAAACCACGUGUUCCAUUUUAUAUGAGUAGCGACGAAAGUCUGUGAUUUUUAGACCACAGACAGACAGAAUGCUUGAAAAUUUAUCAAGAGUGGCAUUGGAAAAAACCGGCACCGAUUAACGUGAAACCUUAGAUGACAGACAGUAACCGAAAACCGUGAAACACAUGUUCGAUUCUCACAGCUCCAUUUUUUCGAGGUUGAUACCACUCGCUACCAAGUUGUAUACGCAGUCUGGUUGGAGUACACACGAUGGUUUCGAGUGUUCGUCUACAAACAAAAUCCGGUAUGACACGCCAUAAGCUAUUGAUUUCAAUGGGGGGUGGAGUUUCGAAGGGGGUGUACGUACAGUCGUGAAUUAAUGUUUGGUGUAUCAUCCGCGUAUCUUGUUGUAAAAUAAUCGGUGUGCCAUACCGUGUUACAUUUAAAUAAAAAGGUGAUACAGGUGCAUUUUUGCAAAAACUACAAGAUAUUUAUAUAAGAUGCUUGUUUUCGUAUAAAUUAUUAAUCUUCAGAACUACCCCGAUGCCUCUCAUAUUUUCUCAAAUCGAAGAUUCGUCAUUUGCAUUAUAUUUUCAACGAAGAUCACGUACGAACGAUUGAAAAUCAAAUUGAUUAAAUAUAUUUUCUGGCAGCUUUAUAACACAAAUUUUUUUAUACAUUUAGUAUUUAAUAUUUAUUUUAGAAAGCAAAUCAAUAACUAAGAAUAACAAAGUCGAUUAGUUCGACUUCUAUGUAUACAUCAUAUGUGUUAUAUAAAACAAUUUGGAAUUUCAUUGAUAAAGAGAGUAUUUAAACGGACGAUAAAUGAUCGCGCAAUUCGAUCUUUUCGCUAAUUAAUUAUUUUUAUCUCGGCAAAAAAUCAGCAAUAUAUUGUACUCGUAAUUGGCUAGGAGAGGAAUCAGCGAGCUUGCUUGGACGAUGGUGAAUUAGAGACGAGUCGAGGACGUUAUCGCGAGCGCGGCCAGAUCGCUUUCCACAUCGACGAGCUCUUAUCGUUCUUUGCCGGCAGAAAGAAAUUAGAAUUCCUACUGGAAAAUCAGGGAAGAUUAUCGUCGGGGGAGGGUGGGCCUCUGAC